CCUACGGGAGACAGCAGUGAGGAAUAUUGGUCAAUGGGCGGAAGCCUGAACCAGCCAAGUAGCGUGCAGGAUGACGGCCCUACGGGUUGUAAACUGCUUUUAUACGGGAAUAACGCGCCUUACGUGUAGGGCUUUGCAUGUACCGUAUGAAUAAGGACCGGCUAAUUCCGUGCCAGCAGCCGCGGUAAUACGGAAGGUCCGGGCGUUAUCCGGAUUUAUUGGGUUUAAAGGGAGCGUAGGCCGCAUGUCAAGCGUGCUGUGAAAUGUCCGGGCUCAACCCGGGCCUUGAAGCGCGAACUGGCGUGCUUGAGUCCGCGGAAAGCAGGCGGAAGGCGCAGUGUAGCGGUGAAAUGCUUAGAUAUUGCGCAGAACUCCGAUUGCGAAGGCAGCAUACCGGCGGCGAUCUGACGCUGAGGCACGAAAGCGUGGGUAUCGAACAGGAUUAGAUACCCCUGUAGUC
rnacentral:rRNA from 1 species